AGUUGCUGGCAGCAGUUGGAAGUGCAGGCAGUUAGAGGCUGGUUCUGCAGCAGUUGGAGGGGAGGACAGUAACCAGGGAAGGGGAACCAGCCAAUGUGCACCCAGGACAGGAUCCAAGGUGGGGACCCAUGGAAGGAGCACAGGCCUCCAGCGCUGCGAAGGCAUGGGCACCCCUCCAGGCCCACAUCCUCUUGGAGAAGAGCAAGAGAGUGGAAGAAGCAGGAAACGUUAUUUACCCACCUCAGAAGUCACCCAAGAGCUCGUGAAAUUGGGCAGGGACUGUGGUAACAUAAAGUUUCAAGUUCCUUACUCCCGGUGGAGUGGGCUCAUGAGAAUAUCCAAGUGUUUAUAAAGGAUAAAGAACCCACAUUUUCUUUGCACAUCUGGCUGGAAAGUGAGAAAUGUAUAAAUUUUUGAAGAAACUGAAGGGACUGUCAUACAUCUGUAAUAAUGAUACACGUAAAGUCUGUGGAAUAACAUGAAAAAUCUGUAAGAUGUACCAUUAAGCGAGCAAAGAAUAAAACUUGUGUGUUUGAUUUUAA